UGCGAUUUUACUUCAUAGGAUCAUUUCUAUAGUAAAUCGUCUUAUCUGAAACUCUAACCAGAGCCACAGAUUCUCCAACCUGGGGGAUGACGAUUAUCUCCUCGAUGCCCAAGAGUGAAACCUUUUUUACCUCUGCCUCGGCGGUGGUGGUGAUGAUCUCGACCCAAAUUGCUGUUUGCUCUUCCGAGUAAGUGAUGAGGGUGGGUGUUGAUGGAAGUCUGACAGGU
rnacentral:snoRNA from 1 species